ensembl:lncRNA
CUACAAGUAUGUUUGCGUCCAGGGCCACCCCUAGCCACUAAGAGACAUAAGUGGCCACUAGGGGCCCCCAAACCACACAAACAAACUCAGGCAGGGUCUCAACUAACUGUUGAGAGUUAGAAUAGUAGAAUAAUCUCUUGUCAUGUCAGUCACAAUUUUUGAGAUUGGUAAAUUAGUCUAGCCAGCAAUCUAAACUUUUAGUAAUCAUGGCCGAAUUGCCGACCAGGCACGCAGGGCACAUGCCCAGGGACCCUGAACUCCAGUGUGCCCCCAUUGAUUGUAUUAGUCACUCUCACUCAGAUAUCAUAUUAUAUUAACAUGGCAUGAGUCAUGGCAAAAUGUGUAGAAUUGCAGGAAAUUAGCUUUAAAACUUCACAUUUUUAUCUCUGCAAAAUAAGUAGAAUUCCAUGAAAUUAAUUAUAAAAUUGCAAAAGGUUCUCUCCGGUCCAUGCAAAAUGUGUAGUAUUGCAGUAAAUUAACUUUAAAAUAUACUUUUUUUCUCUCUGCUGUCAAGAGGAGGACCACUAAAAUGUUUUGCCCGCAAGGUGGGGGGCCCCCCAACCAAAUCUCGCUUAGGGCCCACAAAAGGCUAGGGCCAGCCCUCUUUGCGUCCACCACCUCAUUCACAUCUCACACAACAAGCCCAAUAGGAUCUCAACUAAAUCUAUCUGAAUUAAUAACAAUUUUUUUACUAUCUCCCUCUUUAUUACAGUGAACUGAAAUGGUAAGAGGCUAAGAAUGUUCAGGUGUUCCAAAAAAAACAAUCCAUGACUGUGAGAGCACUAUUUGUCCUCUUGCUCUGUCUGUGGCAGGUGCUCUGCAGGUCAUCUCCAUUGGAUGGAAAGUGUAGGGCAGUAGAGUGUUUCAGUCUUGAGGAUGAUGAGUGUUAACGGGCUCCACAAGAUCACAAAGUGGUGCGCAUAAGCCUAGUGACUCGCUGGUACAGCUGCUGGACAACUGUCAUGAGAUUCCUAAAAUGGUAUGUCAAAAGAGCACAAAAGACAUGAUCAGUGUGUGGUGCCAAACACAGCAAACUGUUCAAGUCCAAACGAUUCUCAACUUCAGCGUUCAACUUCAAAGUUCAAGCCCAAGACAGGAGGUACUGUAGUCUAUUCAAAGAAUAACAACACCUUCAAGAAGUUUCUAGCCGGGGCAUGGGGGGGUUGAGAACCCGUAGGUGAGGAGUGGGCAGUGCUAGGUGUAAACGGGGAGAAUUCCUACUGGUACAGGGGCAGUGGGCACAAUUACUGCUGACCAACAGAAGUUUUGAAUGGCACUGAAAGGUCUAGUAGGGAUGAAUAACAUUCCCACAUUGUAUCUCUGUGGGAGCCAGAGGUUUUUCCCCCCUCUGUGAUAAAAAGAGGAUCUUUGCUCUACAUGAAAAGAUCACUGUGUACUUGAUGUGAACCUGGUGAUACUGUUUAGACUGACCUGGUUGGGUUGUUGUGGCUGAGGGUGUGAGAGAGGAGGGAGUUGAGAAAUAGUUACAGAAAGAGAGAGAAGAGAGACAUGUACAGUUGAAGUCAGAAGUUUACAUACACCUUUGCCAAAUACAUUUAAACUCAGUUUUUCACAAUUCCUGACAUUUAAUCAGAGUAAAAAUUCUCUGUCUUAGGUCAGUUAGGAUCACUACUUUAUUUUUUAAGAAUGUGAAAUGUCAGAAUAAUAGUAAAGAGAAUGAUUUAUUUCAGCUUUUAUUUCUUUCAUCACAUUCCCAUUGGGUCAGAAGUUUAC